CGUGUCCCUGCCUCAUGUGCUCCGCGUCUUCGGAGGAUUCAUGGGUGAUGAAUUCCUCCCCAACCCCCGGACAUUCCUGGACCUGGAGCGGCAGAAAGUGAAAGUGAAGACAAGAGACUGAAUGAGAAGAAAUCCUACAGAAGUAGGGCGAAAAGUGGCAUUACAGUGGUCUAUCAAUAAUGGUGCCUACUUCACUCUUGGUCCUGGACCUUGCUGCUGACGGCAAGCUGGCAAACUCUGUAGAUGAUGCAAGUGACUCGAGCAGACCUCAGCAGCCUGAUGCAGCAAUGGAGAAUUGAGUCAACACACAAGCAAGUCAGGGCUUUUGUCAGCCAUUGCCAAGAAAAAAAAAUCAACACAAGAAUCAUUACCAGAUUAUUAUCUUUAAUGAGACCAUGAUCUUUUAUAUCCAUGAUCUUUAAACACUGCUGAGCAUAUGCUGCAUUAAA